UACGUAGGGGGCAAGCGUUAUCCGGAUUUACUGGGUGUAAAGGGAGCGUAGACGGCAAAGCAAGUCCGGAGUGAAAGCCCGGGGCCCAACCCCGGGACUGCUCUGGAAACUGUUAAGCUGGAGUGCGGGAGGGGCAGGCGGAAUUCCUGGUGUAGCGGUGAAAUGCGUAGAUAUCAGGAGGAACACCAGUGGCGAAGGCGGCUUACUGGACUGUAACUGACGUUGAGGCUCGAAAGCGUGGGGAGCAAACAGG
rnacentral:rRNA from 1 species